UACGGAGGGGGCUAGCGUUGUUCGGAAUUACUGGGCGUAAAGGGCUCGUAGGCGGCCAACUAAGUCAGACGUGAAAUCCCCAGGCUCAACCUGGGAACUGCGUCUGAUACUGGAUGGCUUGAAUCCGGGGAGAGGGAUGCAGAAUUCCAGGUGUAGCGGUGAAAUGCGUAGAUAUCUGGAGGAACACCGGUGGCGAAGGCGGCGUUCUGGACUGCUACUGACACUGAGGAACGAAAGCCAGGGGGAGCAAACGGGG
rnacentral:rRNA from 1 species